rnacentral:rRNA from 1 species
UACGUAGGGUGCAAGCGUUAAUCGGAAUUACUGGGCGUAAAGCGUGCGCAGGCGGUUGUGCAAGACAGAUGUGAAAUCCCCGGGCUCAACCUGGGAACUGCAUUUGUGACUGCACGGCUGGAGUGCGGCAGAGGGGGAUGGAAUUCCGCGUGUAGCAAUGAAAUGCGUAGAUAUGCGGAGGAACACCGAUGGCGAAGGCAAUCCCCUGGGCCUGCACUGACGCUCAUGCACGAAAGCGUGGGGAGCAAACAGG